ACCUGAUAAAUGUUCAGUUGCCUUCUUACAGUCUACUUGGUCCGGCAGAUCAUAAACAUCGAGUUGCUUAUACCGCGUGUUGCUCUGGUGGAAGGGCGUUCCUUCCUAUUUACCCCAGCUAGCCGUCUCCUAUGGCUGAGUUAAUUCAUUUCUCAUGGUGGUGUUUAGUCAAAUUGAUUUACGUUAUUUCCAUGAUUUGCUUUAUGUAGGUGGGACUAGGUUUCAGUUCAUUCUCUGAUUGUGUCAUGUUCUACCGUGGAGUUUCUUAUGGUAGCAGCACUACCCGUAGUUUAUUUUGAUGGUUAACUCUGAGAUGUAAAUAUUAGUGAUGAU